UACGUAGGGACCAAGCGUUGUUCGGAUUUACUGGGCGUAAAGGGCGCGUAGGCGGCGCGGUAAGUCACUUGUGAAAUCUCUGAGCUUAACUCAGAACGGCCAAGUGAUACUGCUGUGCUCGAGUGUGGAAGGGGCAAUCGGAAUUCUUGGUGUAGCGGUGAAAUGCGUAGAUAUCAAGAGGAACACCUGAGGUGAAGACGGGUUGCUGGGCCAACACUGACGCUGAGGCGCGAAAGCCAGGGGAGCAAACGGG
rnacentral:rRNA from 1 species